rfam:Aedes aegypti strain Liverpool supercont1.363 genomic scaffold, whole genome shotgun sequence.
CCAUCGGCCCUUUUCAGGGCCAUUUAAUUAGUUAAAAAGAGUUAAA